CUCCCUACCACAACAGUAGAAUAGUAGAGAAAACGUCUACAGUGACAGCCACUCUGCAGCCGUGUGCCCUGCGGCUGGUGUAAUAGUGUACAGAGAGUCGGAAAGUGCGACUUCCGAACCACCGGCGCGCUGCCUAACUGCUCAGGAAAUUCUACGGAGCUUUCGGAACAUAAUUUACUCAAAGGAGUGACCAGAUUCUGGAAUUACUGGAGUUGUGUGAAUAGGUUAUCGCUCAAGAGCUACUCAUAUUUCGAGGAAGGGUAGACUUUUGAACAGCGGGAGUUCAGGAUGGAAAAAGCGUCACUGUUUUUGCCCCUUGUCAUUCUACUGAUACAAUGCCUCCCCAUUGUCCCUGUUACCGUGUCAACAACCACGCCCAAGGUGGAGGUCCAUGAGAACUCCGAUGCGGUUCUGAGCUGUGAUUUUCGGACAGAGAAGGAACAGAAUCCUCGAAUCGAGUGGAAGAAGAAAGGAACAGAUGUAUCAUUUGUUUACUAUGAGGGACACUUCAGAGGAGCCUUUGCGGGGCGUGCAAGGAUCAAGGGGGCAACGGUGACCCUACAGAGGGUGACCCAGAAAGACGCGGGCGAAUACCGCUGUGAGAUCACUGCCCCUCACGACACCAUCACCCUGGGGGAGACUAACAUCACCCUCGAAGUCUUGGUGCCCCCCCACACCCCAUCCUGUGAGAUCCCCAGCUCGGCCUUGACGGGCUCUGUGGUGCAGCUGCGCUGUAGGGACCAGCAGAGCAUCCCCCCAGCCACCUACUCCUGGUACAAAGAUGACAAGCCACUGACCCCCUCCCGCAUGGCCAACGCCACCUACCACCUCAACCCAAUCACGGGCAUACUGGAGUUUAAGACUGUGGCGAGAGGCGACACAGGACAGUACAGCUGUCUGGCAUCCAACAAAGUGGGGCCGCCCAAGAUGUGUGAGGCUAAACACAUGAAGAUAGAGGAUGUAAACAUGGCAGGGGUCGUGGCUGCGGUCGUGGUCAUCUGUCUGGUCAUCGCCAUUUGUGGCUUCGGGGGAUACUAUGCACACCGUAAUGGCUACUUCAGCAAACACAGAGGAAGGUAAGAGUUGUCUCCUUAAAUCCAUGAACAAUUAUCCCAAAUACAGUGAAGACACCCUGACACAUCUGCGUUGCUGUGUAACUACUACUGACUAAUAGAGGUGUGUGCGUUUUAAUGUUCUGAGUAAGUUCAGUAGAGAGCGACAGGUGUGAUUGAGCCAAGCAGUGCAAAAGCCUGUCUCUUCUCACACAGAGAGAGAGAGAGACACAAACAGGUAUUUUAUGACCCAGUUAGAAAAACUAGGUUUGUUAUGUUAUUUUGAAUUGUGAUUCGCUUACCCCCCUCUGUGUGGUCGUGUUUGUUAGUAACCCUGAGCAUGGUGUGUGAACCUCAUCCACCCCCUCACUCAACUUUGAACCCCCCAGGUCCUUUUGGAUCCCUCAGUGUCAUGGUGUGGCCCACAUCAGCAACCAGGACCUCCAUAGAACAAAAGACAAGACUAAUGCCAACUACAACCCUCCACCCCAAGACCCUGCGGACUUCAAACACACCCAGUCCUUCAUGCUGUGAGGACCUCGACAACCCCCUGGAAGACACCACUGGAGUAGUUUCAUUCCACCCAAAUGAAUAGCUCUAAGAAUAGUUCAUUAAUAUUUUUGGGGACUGACCAACCCUGCUCUCCUCACCCUUGUGGAUGGAUAGCAAGGGGGGGGGGACAGACAACUCUGCGUAGAGGCCAUUUAUUCCUCCUGUUUUGCUUUCCCUGGGCCCUCAAUGCAAGCCUAUUAUAUUAGUCACAUGGUACUCUACUUCCCUCUGGUGGUCAAGUUGUUAAACUACAGCAUAUCGCCAUAUUGUGGUGGACCCAUGGAAUUACGUCCCACACAUGCUCACUUCCCCCUCAACUGGCCAAAACAUGAACUGCCUAAAUCUUAUUUUAUACCAAAGACGUGAACAUGGCAUCUGAGUGUAAUAUACUGUACAUAUUUUCUGAAGGCUAUUGGAUAAGGCUUUUGAUGUGAAUUUAAGGGAAAGUUGUGCAUACAAGGUAGCCAUCACAUUAGGCCUCCCGAGUGACGCAGCAUCUCAGUGCAAGAGGUGUCACGACAGUCCCUGGUUCGAAUCCAGGCUGUAACACAUCCGGCCGUGAUUGGGAGUCCCAUAGAGCAGCGCUCAAUUGGCCCAGCGUCGUCUGGGUUUGGCAGUCAUUGUAAAUAAGAGUUUGUUCUAAACUGACCAAUCCAUUUUCUUCUGAGGGCAGUACUCGCGUAGAUCUCAUUCAGUCGGUUUGGAUUUUUAUUUAACCUUUACUUAACUAGGCAAGUCUGUUAAGAACAAAUUCUUAUUUACAAUGAUGGCCUACCCCGGCCAGACCCUAACGACGCAGGGCCAAUUGUGAGCCGCCCUAUGGGACUCCCAAUCACGGCCGGUUGUGAUACAGCCUGGAAUCGAACCAGGGUCUGUAUUGAUGCCUCCAGCACUGAGAUUCUGCACCACUCGGGAGCCUAAAAUUACAUAGUCGAUGUCCUUGCCCCCCGUUAGUCUAAUUAGCAUACAGGUUUUUAAAAAAUCCACAUCAAAGUCCAUCUGUUUUAAGAUGGAGAAAUUGUUUUUUUGUAUGGGCGUCGCCCCAAUAAUAGUAAAGCAGUGUUGGUCAGAACAGGAGACAUCCCUGAAAAACACCGGAGAUCACCACAAUAGUCUUAUGGAUUCCUUCCUCCAUUUUGAAUAUUGGCCAUCCACUAUAUUCCUUUCAGAACAAUGCAGCUGAAGGAAAGGAAACACUUUGGGAUCGAUUCAAUCAGUAAUGACGAAGUUCAGUGCUAUGAUUGAAAUUUAAAGGCGAUGUUCCCAUUUUCGCAGACUGCCUUCACGUUGAACGCUGCAUAUGGCUCAAUCAUAAAUUACCUUUACAUUUCAAUUGCGCCGUAGCUCUGAACUUCGGCAAUACUAAUUGAAUUGAGACGGACCCCUGCUCACCCGAAGAUGCCUACAUUUUCUGUGAUGCCCAGUGCCUUUCAAAAGUAGUUAUAUUCUGUCUAGGGUCUCUUUUGUAAGUGUUUUCUUGUUUUGUUUAAGCUAAAGUAUUAUUGUGCUACUGCAUUUUUGGUCUUAUAGUGUAUGUUUCUUAGGCUAUGGAUGAAGGGGUUGCUGUACGUUUAUUCUUUGUAAGAUGUUUAUUCAGUAUUAAAGAUUUUCUAUCAAAAAACUUA